rnacentral:lncRNA from 1 species
GCUGGUUAUUGUCAGAGAGAGGAUUUUGGACUAGUUGGGCCUUCAUGGUUGCAAAAGAAUAGCAAAAUGUAAUGCUCAGUUUCAUAAUGGUCAUUUCUGGGUGUUGCAAGCAAACUCAGAGCACUUCUUUCAUGACAAUCUCUCUGCCUCAUCCCUCUCUACGGGGAGAAAUUUCAUUUUCUUGGAGGUACUUUGACAGCAAGGUUGACUAGUCCCAGUGCCAGGAGAGGCAGGAAGGGCAAUCUGAGCAAUCCCCAGAGCAAAAGAGGGCAUACAGGGAGGAAAGGUGAGAGCCAGAAUGGGAAAAGAUAUUCAGUAGGGACCUCCAUGGAUAUCUUUUGCUGCCUCUUUUCUUUUAAGUGUCCUUAUUUCAAACAUUAAGGUGUUUGUUAAGUAUAGAGAAAGCAAUUUCUUUGAAACUGGGUAUAACCUUGGAAAAUGACUCCAUUAUGAUCAUACUCUCAAAAAGCAGUUUGUGUUUCAUUUCCAUUUUGGCAGGUGUAUCAUGUGUUCCCCUAGAAGAAUUUUUUGUCUGGUAUAUUCAAAGAGACAUAAAGUAAGCUGAAAUCAUGCCAGACUAAGACCAAACAUGGUAAUACCAAUAACCCAAAUGAAGAUGUUUCCAUUUAUUAGCAUCUGCUCAAAAAGGAUUCACUGAGGGACGCCUUCAUAGCAUAUGGAUUAAGGUCUUCUUUUCCUAUCUACAGCUUUGCAUUACCAGCAUUUAUUGUCUUGUCUUAUUUUUGCAUCUUUCAUUCUGGCUGGCGUUCAAGGUAAUCUAAAAAUAAAUUUUAUCUGGCUGUAUUUCAGUUUCAGGUAGACGAAGGAUUUAUUGAUAUUCCCGUUCGUGCCACAACUUAUUGUCAUUGUGAUAUGAUGAGUAUAUGUGUGUGAGAGAGAGCAACAGAGGGAGAAAGGAGAGAGAUUUUUCCACCAUUUUACAUAUGUGGAGAAAACCUUGCUUCUUGUUCUUCUCAGAGUCCCUGAUGACCUGGCUUUCUCAUUAUGGCUUCAGUGCAAAUGAAAAACUGAAUUUUGCCUAGAUUUGAUCCAAAAUUUUCUCUACGAGUACCAUAGGAGCAGUCUUGCUCUCCUCCAUAGUCUGAUGGUCAAGAUCCUCAGUCUCAGUAAAGUUAAGAACCAGUGUCAUCAAGCUACAAGAAAAUACAGGUAUCCUAUGAAAGGGAAUUGUGUGUAAAGGCCAUUUGAGAAACAGCAGCAUUUCAUGAAAAGAAGCAGUGGGAACAAUUACUCUAACAUCAGCUGAUGUAUCUUCUGUGGCUAGUCCAGCACUCAGUUAUUUCCUGUAAAAAAUCACCAUUUAGGCUUCUCAUGAACCUAGUAAAGAGGCAGAAUUGUUAAGAAUAGAGUGGUUCAGCUCCCUUUCUUUCACUAUUGCUUAUAGAAGGUUCACAGAUAAUUAAUAGUAAUUCACAAAAUUUUACAUAGCUAUAAGGAUAAAUGUAAUACACAUAGUUUGAUUUCUCAAGUCAACUGUCCUGUCACUGCCAAGGGUUCCUUAUCACUGAAUGCUGUGACAAAUAUGUUGUGAAUCUCCUUAAAAAUUUUGAUUUUUUUUUUUCCCCCAAAAGCGAUUUUCUUUCUGAGCAACUGACAUCACAAUUUGUGGAUGCCCCUGCCUGGAAGCAUUCAAGUCCAAGCUGAAUGGGCAUGUGAAUAAUCUGGUCUAGAGGGAGGUGUCUCUGCCUAUAGCAGGGGCUUGGAACUAAAUCUUAAAGGUCCCUUCCAACCCAAGCCAUUCUAUUAAUCUAUGAAGUAAAUUAAAAUUUAGUAACAGACAGUGGACUUCCAGCCUUACUAAGCUUUUUCUUAAUUCAAGAACUAGAUACAAAAUAAACAGUAACAAUUCAAUUCCUAUCCA